GAUGAACGCUGGCGGCGUGCCUAACACAUGCAAGUCGAACGAACCUUGGGGAACAGAUUACUUCGGUUUGAAGUUCCCCGCUGGUUAGUGGCGGACGGGUGAGUAACGCGUGGGAAACCUGCCUCAUAGAGGGGAAUAGCCUUCCGAAAGGGAGAUUAAUACCGCAUAAGAUUGUAGUACCGCAUGGUACAGCAAUUAAAGGAGCAAUCCGCUAUGAGAUGGGCCCGCGGCGCAUUAGCUAGUUGGUGAGGUAACGGCUCACCAAGGCGACGAUGCGUAGCCGACCUGAGAGGGUGAUCGGCCACAUUGGGACUGAGACACGGCCCAGACUCCUACGGGAGGCAGCAGUGGGGAAUAUUGCACAAUGGGGGAAACCCUGAUGCAGCAACGCCGCGUGAGUGAUGACGGCCUCGGUUGGUAAAGACGUCUGGUCUUCUAGGGACGGAU
rnacentral:rRNA from 1 species